rnacentral:rRNA from 1 species
GAUGAACGCUGGCGGCGUGCCUAAUACAUGCAAGUCGAGCGAACAGACGAGGAGCUUGCUCCUCUGAUGUUAGCGGCGGACGGGUGAGUAACACGUGGAUAACCUACCUAUAAGACUGGGAUAACUUCGGGAAACCGGAGCUAAUACCGGAUAACAUGUUGAACCGCAUGGUUCAACAGUGAAAGACGGUCUUGCUGUCACUUAUAGAUGGAUCCGCGCCGCAUUAGCUAGUUGGUAAGGUAACGGCUUACCAAGGCAACGAUGCGUAGCCGACCUGAGAGGGUGAUCGGCCACACUGGAACUGAGACACGGUCCAGACUCCUACGGGAGGCAGCAGUAGGGAAUCUUCCGCAAUGGGCGAAAGCCUGACGGAGCAACGCCGCGUGAGUGAAGAAGGUCUUCGGAUCGUAAAACUCUGUUAUUAGGGAAGAACAAAAGUGUAAGUAACUAUGCACGUCUUGACGGUACCUAAUCAGAAAGCCACGGCUAACUACGUG